rnacentral:lncRNA from 1 species
UAAAAUUUUAAAAAACCCUGCUCUUUAAAAAUUUCAAUAUAGCUCUUACAUAUUUCAUGUGCUUAAAACUGUUUGUAUUCCCUUGUCUGAAAACUUUUAUUAAUAUAUUUUAAUCCUUUUGAACUAUUGGUCUUUUUGUUAUUGAUUUAUAGGAGUUCUUCAUAAAUUAGGAAAAUUAGCUCCUUGUCUACGAUAUGAGUUGUAAAUAUUUUCCCACAUUUCCAUUUGUCUUUAGACUUGGAAAUGCGUUGCCCACAUUAUUUUAUUUUUAUGUGUGUCAAUCUUUUCCAGGUUUUUGUGUCUUUCUUAGAAAGGCCUUCCUCACUCCAAGGUUGUCAUUACAACUGUUUAGAAACAUGCAUUUGUACUGAGAAGAGAGCAGCUGUUUUGCCAGGAUGAUGGAAUGUGGGAAGAUCCCUUCUGUUACGUAUUUCCUCUAGUAUUGCUAUCACAUAUGGGGAUACUAUUUUAAAAUAAAUGCCAUGGCCAAAGCAUGGUGUUGGUGCUUCUGAAAUGUUCUAGAACCAUGUUACUAGCUAUGACACGGACCCCUCCAUGCCUUGAUGAUGACUAGGCCUAAAGACCCUUCACCUACACAGGCCACUCAUGGUAUUGAGAGGUGCCUUAGCAACAGAUAAUCAUUAUUAUACCUUUUCUUAAAUUUGACAAACAGGCACUCCAGCAUCAGUCCCAUAAAACCUGGACUUACUACAGUAUCUACCUAGGAAGCACCAAAUAGCAUCUUGCACUGAUACCACGCUCUUAGAAGAGUCCAGCUGCUGGACGCAACCUGCAGAGGGACCGUAGAGAAGAUAAGGCUGGAGUGGGAAAGGAAGAAGAGGGAGUGAGGGUUUGGAACGGGAUGGUGCUGGAGGCAAUUAGGUAAUAACUUACCUGAGGACAACUUGAACCCAGAGCACUGUCUUUCAGAAGUCUACCAGCAUUACAGAAAACGCCUCUCUAAUUUUGGCCGUGGCUCCAACAGUAACUCAGAAAGAAGGCAAGACACUGGACAAGUAGCUGCAGCGCUCUUAGAGGUCACUGUGGAGGUGAGGAAGGCACAGCAGAGUGGAAAGGGCCCAAGCUUUGCCAACAGUAGAACCUGGACUUCAGCCUUCUCU